UUCUCAGAUGGGGCUAGUGAACAAGAUUAAAACAUACUGACUCAGUCUAGUCGGGCUCACCACAACCUACAGCUCAGGUUCUGCAGCAGUGCUGCUGACUCCAACUGAGGAAAGAGCCAGACAGUGGAAGGAGAGUGGGGUCUGGGCAUCUCUGCUCAGAUUGCUGCUUUGCAACCUGGCCCUGGAUAAGCAGUAGGAAAUAGAUGAAGGGAUGGAUUUACUUCUUAACUGUCCCAGAAUCUCCCAGUGCAGCCUUGAUUUUAAAAGCAGAGCCAGAAACAGAAUCAAUGCAGAUAUCUAAUUCCACUUAUUAUAGACUCUUUAGUCUAAUGACAAGUGUCACUCAUGCAGUAAUAAAGGUCUGCAGCUCAGCAUUUUAUCAGCAUAUUAGUAUUACUACAUUUAGGAAGCAAAAUAACUGACACCUGAUUUAAAGAUCUCGUUGGGGAAAAGGUUUUUUAGUCUUCAUAAUUAAUAAGCAGAAAUCCCAUGCAGUAUUUUAUGGUGGCCAAUCAGCAAUCCAGAACCUGAAUAUUUCCAGUUAACUAUCAACAAAACAGCUUUGUAGGCCUCGUGUUUCUUACAUCAUUGAGACAUGACUUUAAAAGAGUUACUUUACUUGCACAUUAAUGCAUGCUGUUUAAUGCUGCUGUUUAAUGCUCACCUGGUUAACGGUUUAUAAAUCUGUUGCAGCAUGUGCGGACAUCGUGUAAUUACCAAUCCUGAUCUACAUUUCUACACCGCCACAAAGUAUGCUGUAACCGCCCUGACAGAGGGCCUGCGGCAGGCGCUGCGUGCAGAAAACAGCCAUAUCCGAGCCACAGUAAGGCUUUAAAAACACUGUAGGCAGCUCCAAAAGUCACUUUAAAACCAACAUUACUGUGAUGAGACCCUCACACACAGUAUCCACUCUUUUUUGCAGUGUAUUUCUCCUGGUUUGGUGGAGACAGAAUUUUUGUCACGGUUCUACAAAAACAAUCCUAAUAAAGCAGCUGGUGCAUACUCUGCAUACAAGUCUCUGGAAGUAACAGAUGUUGCCAAUGCUGUUACGUACGUGCUCAGUGCCCCUCCUCAUGUUCAGGUGAUUUUUCUCUUAUUUUUAUGCCUUACUCUUUUUCUGUAUAAAUAUCAUUUUAUAUUAAAACACUGUUCUCCCUUCAGAUCGGAGAUGUUCGGAUGCAAGGUACGGAGCAGGUUUAGAGUUGAACCACAUGACCUCCCUGAAAUUAUGCACUUCUUCACUACAUUUAUGGGAAUGAUGAUUUAUGAUCUGUUCACAAAACAGUUUUGUUGUUGAUGUUUGUACUGAAAUUUUCUACUAAUAUAUAAAAUAAAAUGAGAGAAAACUG
ensembl:lncRNA